CAGUUUUGAAAUGCAGACUUUAUGGGGAGAGAUAAUGUUUAUUUUCUGAAUUUUAAAAGCUCCCUUUAUAGGUGGAAAGUUAGGGCUGGAGUUUAGACAUAUAAGCCUUUGGUAGAGACAAUGCAGAUUAUUUCAUAAGGGAGGCGCUGACAGAAUGGGAAGAGGAGGCAAGAGGUAAAAUAACCAGGUACCUGGUUUGUAGUGUACUUAUUGUGCUGUUUGUAGCACAAAGACAAGAGUGCAUGUGUGCACAUGUGUGUGUGAGAGAGAGAGGAGAAGCUGACUUUGGGAGAGCAGAGGGGCUGUCUUUCCUUUCCUACAGGCACUCAUCCAGUCUCUGUUUUGUUUCAGUUUGGAGGAAUCCCAGAGCAGCGGCUUUGUUCCUUACUUUUUCAGGAUAGACCGGGGAAAUAUCAAGUCCCAGAGAACUGCUGCAUCCAGCACAUGCCACCCAGGUGGUGGGUUAGAAAGGGCGGAAUGAAGGGGGAAGACAGGGAGAAUGGAGAUGCCACUAUCCUGCAGCAACAGUGAAGUAAAAGUUAUAGGAAACAAAGAAGUAACCUUUUCUGGUACCUCAAUGCAUUGGACGUAGUUUUCAAAUCACUAUGACAUGUGUGUGAAUUCUUCUGAGUUCUGUAAGGCUUUGUCCCCAGCUUUUGCCACAGGAAAGCUUCUUUGCAGUGACUCCAUCCCCUAUGCCCAUCCUUCUGGCAUCCUCGCUCCAU
rnacentral:lncRNA from 1 species